GACGAACCGUGCGAACGUUAAUCGGAUUCAUUGGGCUUAAAGGGCGCGUAGGCGGCGGCGUAAGUUCGUGGUGAAAUCCCAUCGGCUCAACCGUGGAAUUGCUUCGAAUACUGCGUCGCUCGAGGGAGAUAGGGGACCGCAGAACUGCCGGUGGAGCGGUGAAAUGUGUGAUAUCGGCGGGAAUGCCAGUGCCGAAAGGGGCGUCUGGACCUCUUCUGACGCUGAGGCGCGAAAGCGUGGGGAGCGAACGAGG
rnacentral:rRNA from 1 species